rnacentral:rRNA from 1 species
GAUGAACGCUGGCGGCAUGCCUAAGACAUGCAAGUCGAACGAGAUGGCCCAGUGAAGGUUGAGUGCUUGCACGAGACUGAAUCUGGAUUCCCAUCUAGUGGCAGACGGGUGAGUAACACGUGGGUGACCUACCUUUUCGUUGGGGAUAACAGUUGGAAACGAUUGCUAAUACCGAAUAAAAUGUAAGAGUCAAUUUUACAUUGAAAGGAGCCUUUAAAGCUUCGCGAUUAGAUGGGCCUGCGGCGUAUUAACUAGUUGGUGAGGUAAUGGCUUACCAAGGUGACGAUGCGUAGCCGAACUGAGAGGUUGAUCGGCCACAUUGGGACUGAGACACGGCCCAAAACUCCUAACGGGGAGACAGCAGUUAGGAAUAUUCGUCAAUGGGCGAGAGCCUGAACCAGCCAAGUAGCGUGAAGGAUGAAGGUCCUACGGAUUGUAAACUUCUUUUAUACGGGAAUAAGUUCCUACGUGUAGGAUUUGUAUGUACCGUAUGAAUAAGCAUCGG